rnacentral:tRNA from 1 species
GGGGUUGUGGCUCAGUGGUGGAGUGCUCGCCUAGCAUGUGUGAGGCACUGGGUUUGAUCCUCAGCACCACA